GACGAACGCUGGCGGCGUGCUUAACACAUGCAAGUCGAACGGAAAGGCCCUGCUUUUGUGGGGUGCUCGAGUGGCGAACGGGUGAGUAACACGUGAGUAACCUGCCCCUGACUUUGGGAUAACUUCAGGAAACUGGGGCUAAUACCGGAUAGGAGCUCCUGCUGCAUGGUGGGGGUUGGAAAGUUUCGGCGGUUGGGGAUGGACUCGCGGCUUAUCAGCUUGUUGGUGGGGUAGUGGCUUACCAAGGCUUUGACGGGUAGCCGGCCUGGGAGGGUGACCGGCCACAUGGGGCCUGAGAUACGGCCCAGACUCCUACGGGAGGCAGCGGUCGGGAAUAUUGCGCAAUGGGCGCACGCCUGAUGCAGCAACGCCGCGUGCGGGAUGACGGCCUUCGGGUUGUAAACCGCUUUCGCCUGUGCCGAAGCGUGAGUGACGGUACUGGGUAAAGAAGCCCCGGCUAACUACGUG
rnacentral:rRNA from 1 species